rnacentral:rRNA from 1 species
CAGGGAGACAGGUGGUGGCAUGGUUGUCGUCAGCUCGUGUCGUGAGAUGUUGGGUUAAGUCCGCAACGAGCGCAACCCUACGUUUAGUUGCUAACGCGUGAAGGCGAGCACUCUAGACGAACUGCCGUUGACAAAACGGAGGAAGGUGGGGAUGACGUCAAAUCAUCAUGCCCCUUAUGUUCUGGGCUACACACGUGCUACAAUGGCCGGUACAGACGGACGCAAAGCCGCGAGGUGGAGCAAAUCCUAAAAAGCCGGUCUCAGUUCGGAUUGCAGGCUGCAAUUCGCCUGCAUGAAGUCGGAAUCGCUAGUAAUCGCAGGUCAGCAUACUGCGGUGAAUACGUUCCCGGGCCUU